rnacentral:rRNA from 1 species
GUGGGGAAUAUUGGGCAAUGGGGGCAACCCUGACCCAGCAACGCCGCGUGAGGGAAGAAGGUUUUCGGAUUGUAAACCUCUGUCCUAUGGGAAGAAGGAAGUGACGGUACCAUAGGAGGAAGCCCCGGCUAACUACGUGCCAGCAGCCGCGGUAAUACGUAGGGGGCGAGCGUUGUCCGGAAUUACUGGGCGUAAAGGGUGCGCAGGUGGCCUGACAAGUCAGAUGUGAAAUACCGAUGCUGAACGUCGGGGCUGCAUUUGAAACUAUGAGGCUGGAGUGCAGGAGAGGGAAGCGGAAUUCCUAGUGUAGCGGUGAAAUGCAUAGAUAUUAGGAGGAACACCAGUGGCGAAGGCGGCUUUCUGGACUGUAACUGACACUGAGGCACGAAAGCGUGGGGAGCAAACAGGAUUAGAAACCCCGGUAGUCC